CAUGGGCAUAUAGCAAAGCCAAGGAUUUCAGCAGAUGAUGGGUGGGAUCAUCAGAAUGACUCAGCACUCAGCUCUGGCAAGGGCACAGACGAGCAGAGUCCCUGCAUGCUGCUCAGCUCGCUACAAUCUAGCACUGCUGGCCUUUUUUGGGUUCUUCCUCCUGUAUGCAUUACGUGUGAACCUGAGUGUUGCUCUAGUGGAUAUGGUAGAACCUAACACAAGCUUAGCAAAGAAUACGACUUCCAAUGUGUGUCCAGAGCAUUCUUCCACCAUAAAUGUUCCUCGCAACACAACGGGAGAAAAAUACUCUUGGGAUGCUGAUACUCAGGGAUGGAUCCUUGGUUCUUUUUUCUAUGGCUAUAUCAUUACUCAGAUUCCAGGAGGAUAUCUUGCAAGCAAAAUUGGAGGAAAGCUGUUGCUGGGGUUUGGCAUCUUUGGCACCUCUGUAUUCACCUUGCUCACUCCCCUAGCUGCAAAUUUGGGAGUUGGCUACCUCAUAGCUGUUAGAGCCUUGGAAGGACUGGGAGAGGGUGUUACCUUCCCAGCUAUGCAUUCAAUGUGGUCUUCUUGGGCUCCUCCACUGGAACGCAGCAAGCUUCUUAGUAUUUCAUAUGCAGGUGCACAGCUGGGAACUGUUGUCUCUCUGCCACUAUCUGGUUUAAUUUGCUACUAUAUGAACUGGAUUUAUGUGUUUUACAUAUUUGGUGCACUUGGCGUACUGUGGUGGUUCUUCUGGAUGUGGUUGGUUAGCGAUACACCAGAAACUCACAGGAGCAUUUCACAUGCUGAAAGAGAAUAUAUACUCUCUUCUCUAAAAGAUCAGCUUUCUACACGGAAAUCUGUUCCCUGGAGACCUAUACUGGAGUCUCUUCCACUCUGGGCUAUCGUUGUGGCACACUUCUCUUAUAAUUGGACUUUCUACACGCUACUUACACUCUUGCCCACAUACAUGAAGGAGAUCCUGCGGUUUGAUGCACAGGAGAAUGGGUUUUUGUCUGCCCUACCUUAUUUUGGCUGCUGGUUAUGUAUAAUUCUGUCUGGGCAAAUUGCUGAUUACUUACGGCAAAACCAGAACUUGUCCACUGUUUGUGUCCGCAAAUGUUUUACCCUAAUAGGAAUGAUUGGACCUGCAGUGUUCUUAGUAGCAGCUGGAUUCAUAGGUUGCAACUAUGCACUGGCUGUUGCAUUCGUGACCAUAUCAACAACACUAGGAGGAUUUUGUACAUCUGGCUACAGCAUAAACCAUCUGGACAUAGCACCUUCGUAUGCUGGAAUUCUCCUUGGGAUCACAAAUACUUUUGCUACUAUCCCAGGAAUGGUGGGGCCAGUUAUUGCCAAGAACCUCACUCAUAAUUUAGAACACCAUUCUCAAAAGUAUGGUGAACAAGACUGGGGACUGGAUUAAGGGAUGAUUAAUAUUUUCCUGGAAAAUUACCUGCUUCAGAACUUUCUUGCCUAGCUUUGCAGGUAUGCCAGAGUAAGAAGUUGUGCUCUCUGUUCCAUCAAGAACCCUCUAAUAUGAGGAUAUGCACCUGGAAUGAGGGAAGUAGGUUCAAAUUUAUAUUUCACCCAUUUCAGAGCAGGAGUUGAACCUCUGCUUUGGGAACAUGUCUUAGUGUUGCCAGGUAUUUUUAAGUGCAUUCUCCUCAAUGUCUCCUUCUGACACAGUUCUGCUUAAAAAUUUUUUGUUUGUUUUUGAACAUUCAGUGCAAAGUUCUACCAAUAUUAGUAACAGAGAUGGAAUAACUCUUUGCAGAAUAACCUACAGCAUGUGACAUGGGUGUUGACCUGAGAUGUAAGCCAUGGUCUUUUACAGCCUGGAAGAGUGCCUUCAUCAUGCUUUUCAGAAGAUGGAAGGCCACAGAGUAAUGGUUGUGUUUCUCAGUUCACUAUUUCUUUGUUCCAAAGAUACCAACUGUCAAUCAUGCACCUUAAAAAAUCUGAAGUAUUUGACACCCAAAAAUAUGAGUUAACUUGUGUAGGCUUUUUUAAUGCUAAACUAGUGAAGGUUUAUAUAACUUUUCAUAAUGUGUAGGCACCCAUGCAUACUGCUUUCCCAGUUACAUGUUCCUCUGUAACUGGUAAUGACUGUAUUUGCUAUGUGAAAGGGUCAUCUUAGUUCAUUUCCCAGACACCGAAUUGUUCCCAUGAUGUGUCUCUCUCUCUGGCUUCUCCUCUCAAUCACUUAUUGACUUAAUUGCCAAUUUCUCCUCUUCCAAUGUCUGGGAAUGUUUGAUUCCAUGCUAAAUUAACCUUUAACAGGUCUUCCAAUAUUUUUAGCAUUUGUCAGGAAAGAAAGCUGUGGGUGUGGAGGCCUACACAUUACAAAGAUAAGUGAGACAAAGUUCAUAAGGAAAGGUAAUGUCUUCUGGUAGAUCACUUGAAGCAUCUGGGGAAGAGAGACAUGCUUUUAAAUUUCAAGCCUCUUUUACAUUAUGAGCUCAACCAUCAUAACUAAAACACUGCUGUUGUGUUUUGUAAGCUGUUACAGUGAAUGGCAUCUCCCAUUUCUCUUGUGUACCUGUAUCUCAAGAAGUCAAAUCAAACAAAAGAGGUCAAAAUGAUUCUCGCUCAAACUCUAGUUGGCUGGCCAAAUCCUUUUCUGAUACCUGUCAGUAAAGAUGCUGUCUCUGUAAGUACAAGGGCACUGGCCUGAGCUGUUAUACUGAAGAAAAUAUGUCUGACUUGGAGCUAAGAGAAAGAUAUAAUUCGAGGUGAAUGAUUUGGUAUUAACACAUUUUGCUAUUACUGUGCCCACUGGGAGGAAGCCACCAUGGUUGCACUAGUGUAUUCACUAGCAGUGAAGUAGGUAAUCCUGAAGAUAAAAAGAGGAUCUUGUGGGGAUAACUACUUAUAGAGAAGUUGGUUAGCCUCAUGUUGGCCUCUUUUAUAUGAGGAAGUAUGAGCAAUUUUUUAUAAAUGCAUUUGUUUAAUCUAACAAAUCAGACUGUACUAGAGUCAACUCAAAGUUUUGCUUCACUCAUAUAACAGGUAUUAAUAUAUCUACAGUUCUGUAUCUAAUGGACUAUGUGUUUAUAAUUCUGAAAAAUAGCUUAAGAAAGCGUUCAUUUAUUUACACUUUAUGUGAUGGUACAUAUAGUCUGUUGCAGAAGUAAUUCUUGCCAUGUUUAAUGCAGGAGUAAAACAGUGAGUUUAAAUUUAUUUUAAUUUCUUACCCUCUGCCCAGCAGCGUUGCCUGUAGCUCCAGUAACUGUUUUAUAUCAGGGUGUUAGUUAUUAACGCUUCAUAAGAUUCAAAUAGCCAGAAAAAGAACUACAGGAAGACACCAGCAGUUAUUUAAAUCCAAGUUGCAUGGCAAAUGGAGGAGGUAGCACACAAAAGCAUGCCAGACCAUAAAAAACCUGCUACCUUGAGUGAGAAACUGGAAAUCCUUCCCAUUAAAUCACCAUUGCAACCUUCCUACUUCUCCUCCUCCAUAAAGCUGCCAUAAUGGUGGUUGGUCAUACAUUUUAAACUAAAACUACAUCUAAAUGAUUCAAAUCUGUGACAUAACAAUCAAGUGUUUAUUGUGUGUAAAACCAUUGAUCGAACUUAGUACUUGGUUAUUUCUAAGAAGCUCCAAUACACAUCUGGCCAGUGUAGUUCUUGAGUCAUAACUCAGUCCAGUGAAAAUUGCAUUUCUUUGAGAAAAGUUAUUUCCACGUGAAAUUUUAACUGUUUGGGCUUAUCAGUCAAGCAGUGCUGCCCUAAGAGUUGCAUGCGUUAUUUUAGAGAAGUAAUUUUCCUUAUUCUGUGUAAGCUCUAAACAUUCUGAGUUGAUUUUUGUUUCUCAGUAGACUAUGUAAUAAGAUUACACAGUGACAGAGUUCAGGCCUGGAUCAGACACAAAACGUGAAAACUCAGGUAGCAGAGUAAUUAAAUAGAAGGUUCAGAUUUUCAAGUGAUUGCAAAUUAACUUUAGAAUAAUAGUAACUUUGCUCUUAUUGCAACAUCACCUGUACAAGGUUGCAAUACACUGCAAGAGAGGGUGCCUGGGAGUUGCCGAAGGCAUAGCAAUAGAAGGAGAUUGUGGCUUAUUAAGCCAAAAUUCUGUUUGCCUUCCCCUCCCUUUACAGGACAGCCAUUUGCUAUAGGGUAGAGCUGAGUGAAGAGUGGUAAUAGCCUUUCAUAAAGUGUUCUUGGAAGGAAAUUUCAUGAAAAGAAUUUCUUAAAAUCGUUUUUGUAAUAUACAGAAGUUUCCAUAUGGCUGCUUCAGAAUAGGAAAUGAAUAUAUCAGUUUUUCUGGUCUUUUCCUAAAUUAAAUUCCAUUGUAGACACUUAAUAAGCUUAGCUCAGCCAUACUUAGAUAUGGUCGUGUUUUCUGAUGGAAAACAUGGUUCUGUUGAUGUUUCUCUGACUACCUCUUCUGCUGAAGCGUUCUAGCAGUAAAUGACUAAUCUUCUAUUUCUGAAUCAUCUUACUAGCUGAGAAGACUUAAUAGAUGAGGAGUCAGAGCCCUGACCAUCUGGGCUUCACAGAGAACAAGAAGCGACAAGUGCCUUUGGUAUCUAUAAGCUUAAACAGUCUCUGCUGAAGGAGUAAAAAAAAAAGGUUUUCCGUAUAUUCAUUAAAGGAAAUUAAACAAGAAUCCCACAACAACUGAUAAUUUGUAAACAAAUUAGGGAAAAAUACAAUAUUCUAAAAAAAUCACAGGGAGUUUUUGCAAUAGUAUGACAAUAUAAAGAGAAUCAUUGAUGUGGCUGUCCUUAAAAGGAAAGUGAAAUGGAGUAUAUUUUGCAGGUCAAUUCAAGACUGGCACUGCCUGUCAGUAUUUAAGAAGCAUUUGGGCAGUGCCCUUAAUAAUUUGCUUAAACUUCUGGUCAGCCCUGAAGCAGUCAGGCAGUUAGACUAGAUGAUCAUUGUAGGUCCCUUCCAACUGAAAUAUUCUAUUCUAAGACCUAAGAUUGCUACUCCCACUGAACAUUAAGUAGCUCUAAUGCUAUUAUUUAAGCAAAACCACUUCAACUGCCUUUUGCAUGAAGGGACAGGAGGAGAGAUGGGGAGAGGAAAAAGGAAAGGAGGGCACUUCUUUCAGUAAAGUCAAAAAAUUUCUGUCUUCUGAAUGAUCUUAAAAUUAAACUGUAUGAAUAUACAAAAUGUCACUAAGUGAAAUUUGGUUUUGACUUGACUGACUUAUGACGCUUUCAAAUUUGCAUGCUAUGUGUGGUCAGCGUAUCUUGCAUAGUUGUUUUUGUUCAGCUGGGAAAGUAUGUAAUAAGUUCAAGGGGAGGAUGAUUUCUGCUGUCCAGUAGAAAAGA